GAUGAAGAACGUAGCGAAAUGCGAUAAGUAAUGUGAAUUGCAGAAUUCAGUGAAUCAUCGAAUCUUUGAACGCACAUUGCGCCCGCCAGUAUUCUGGCGGGCAUGCCUGUUCGAGCGUCAUUUCAACCAUCAAGCCCCCGGCUUGUGUUGGGGACCUGCGGCUGCCGCAGGCCCUGAAAUGCAGUGGCGGGCUCGCUGUCACUCCGAGCGUAGUAGUUACAUCUCGCUCUGGGCGUGCUGCGGGUUCCGGCCGUUAAAAGCCUUAUUUACCCAAGGUUGACCUCGGAUCAGGUAGGAAGACCCGCUGAACUUAAGCAUACCAAUAAGCGGAGGA
rnacentral:misc_RNA from 1 species